rnacentral:lncRNA from 1 species
AUGCCUUCGCCGCGUCAGUACUUAGGGCCCGGCGACGGCGGCUCCACGACAGCCCAGCGAGACGGGCAAAGAGCCCCAAGCAUCCAACCAGGGAGCACCGGCGGUGGCAGCCGUCUCCCGGCCACCCCGGCGCCCUCCGGCCCUCCUGGAGCAGCCGCUGGGAAGGGGAACACCGGGGUACCCCCUCCCCGUGCUUGGGGACGGGCAUGGGCUUGGCAGUGCCCACCUCGGCACGGUGGGAGCCGAGGGCACGGCGGGAGCCGAGGGCACGGCCGUGCCGGGGAGCCGGGCACCGCUCCCCGCGGCACUCGGCGCACGCCGAGCGUGCCCUGGCGCACCUUGGCCCCCCGCCACCUCCCGCGCCCCACGGGGAGGGAGGAACAGGAUCCAUGCCCGUGCCAAGCAAGGAGGGAUGAGAGGGGAAGAAAGCGCUGGACGCGGGACAAGAUCGCGGCGAUAGGCGGCACGCGCGGGGCCCGGCGCGAUGGGGCACAUGUGUCCCGACCUGUCUGCCCGCGCCGCGAAAAACAAUUAGCGCCGGGGCGGUGCGGGCAGCUCGCCAGGCACCCCGGGGACGGGCGGGCCAGGAGCGCCGCCAGCUCCGCGCUCGGCUCCGCGCCUUCGGCCCCCCCACAGCCAACGCGCCCCUGGGCCCCGGCACGGAGGAGCAGCGAGCUGGCGGGGCUCCUUCUGUCCCCAGCGUCACUGUCACUCCACGCUCUCCCUGGCAUCAGCUCAUGCGGGGUUUUGGCAGCGCUGCGCCCACCAAGGGGGGCCCGAUGGAGAGAGGGGACGGGGACAAGAGCGAGUCCUACCGUGCUCUGGCGUCACCGCUGCGCCGCUGCCGUCCGCGGCCUCGCCGGGAGCCGCUGCCACCACGCGGGGUCCCCGUGGUCCCAUCAGCCCCGGCAUCCCCAGGGCCGGCACCAGCACCAGCCCCCCGAGGAAGGCGGGCUGGGAGCUCACUUGCACCGUCUGCGGCUGCGACACCAGCCUGAAGGUGGCGGCUUGGGGGGCUGGCAGUGGUGGCAGCCCCUCGGCCCUCCCCGCGGAGGCGGCGGCCGGGGCUGCCUCCCCCUGUCCCCAGGGCUGAGGAGGGGGCCGGCGGGACGGGAUGGGGCUGGCACUGAGGGUGACCCUCCGCUGCGGCCGGGGCACCACGCGGGGGGCCGUGUCCCACCCCCCCGGACCCUCGGGGAGCGGGGGCAGCCCCGGGGCUGUCUCUGUGCCAUCGGAUGGGGGCAGGGAGGAGGAGGAGGAGGAUGA